CAAGAUCAUCCUUCCCAUUUGGCAAUGUCCCUACCCCUGAGCCUGAGCUUGACCUAAAGAGAAACAAAGAACAAAUGCUCCCAAGGGGGAAUAUGUAUUCUUCUGUGCAGAGGAUGCGCUCACUUGCUGGGGCAAACAGGUGAGGAAAUUGAAGCCCAAUGUAGUAAGAAGCAGAGCUGGAGUUUGAGCCUGGCUCCAUCCAUCACCAAAGGAAAGCCUUCUUGUCCCUUAGGCCAGCCCUCCAGGCACUGCCAAACCCAUGACUGAACACAGCACCCAAUACCCUUUACUGUAGUCUUUUGGUAUAAACUACCUUGGGUUUCCCUAGGAAGAAUAGGGAUGCAAAACCAAUAAAAUCACUGUUGGAAA